AUGGCGUCGAGCACCGGGCUGACAGCUCCGAGCUCACCGGUUGGGACAAAUACUACUCCUCCACCGGCGACCACCAUGGAGCCCAAUAUGGACGCCGGGCUGCUAGCAUUGGCUUGUUCCGGAUCUUUCCACGAUCUGGAAUCAUUCCUCGACGGGAAACCAGCCGCCUUCACCAUGGGAAGCUCGGCCACGCAGCCACCUGAUCUGUACGCCGUUACCGUUGGAGGUAACACUCUUCUCCAUGUGGUGGCCGCCAGCCAUGGCGACUCUGAGGACUUACUGGAUAAAGCCAGACUUGUCUACAGCAAGGCGCACAGCCUCCUCUUCGUGCAAAACAACGAGGGAGAUACGCCCCUGCAUUGUGCUGCACGGGCGUGGAAUAUCCCAAUGAUGUCUCUUCUCAUUGAUCUUGCCAAUGGCCAGGGUAUUAACAACGCUAAGGGGCUGCUGGAAACACAGAACAAGCUCAAAGAGACAGCCUUGCACGAGGCCGUCCGCUUUGGGAGCAAUGAUAUGGUCAAUUUGCUCAUGGCCCGUGAUCCAGAAUUGGCCACUCUUCCUGAGGAAGGUACUUCACCAUUGUACCUCGCCAUCUUACUGGAAAAUGGAAUCAUCGCAAAAACACUCUACGAGUUGAGCGGUGGGGUUCUUUCAUACUCUGGACCAAAUGGACGAAAUGCAUUGCAUGUUGCUGUUCAGCGGAGCCAAGAUCUCACGAAGAUGUUGUUAGAAUGGAACAAUGACCUUAUACAACAAGGGGAUGCAAACGGAAUUAUGCCUCUUCAAUUUGCCGUUGUAGAUAUUCUGCGUCGAAGGAAAAGAGCCAGCCAACCCAUAUGUUUCGAAUUAUUGAAAGUCAAUCCAGAUGCACUGUAUCAAUCAGACCGCAAUGGAUCAUUUCCGACACACGUGGCUGCAUCCGUUGGUGCAACAUCGAUUAUCACUGAUUUUCUUAUGAAGUCACACAAUUGCGCUGGCUUGCUUGAUGCUAGGGGAAGGACAUUUCUUCAUGUUGCUGUUGACAAAAUGAAAAUAGGGAUUGUCGACUAUGCUUGUCGAAACAUAUCACUAUCAUGGAUUUUGAAUAUACAAGACAAAGAUGGGAAUACUGCACUCCACAUAGCUGUAAGAAAAAGAAGUGUGAGAAUGUUUUGUUCUCUGUUAGGGAAUAGACAAGUACACUUGAAUUUGAUGAAUGGGAAAGGGGAGACUCCAUCAGAUAUAGCACAUCAAAAUCUUCCUGAAGGAACACGAUAUAUCAAAUGGGAAAGUGAUGCACAAAUACUCGGGGUACUCAACUAUAUCGGUGCUAAAAGGGGUAUUUCUCACCAGGGUUUCUUGAAUGAAUACGAUACUGACCAAGCAAGACAGGAUGAAAUACAUUUGUUGAGACAAAUGAAAGAGGGGACACAAAGUCGUUGUAUUUGCUCCGUCCUAAUUGCAACCGUGACGUUUGGUGCAAUGUUCACCAUGCCUGGAGGUUAUAGAGAUGAGGAUCACACUCAUGCAGGGUCACCAAUUCUUGCUGGAACGUUUGGUUUUGAUAUAUUCUUCAUGGCCAACACACUUGCCUUUGCUUUCUCAACCACAGCUACAAUUUUUCUCAUGUUUUCUGGGGAUCCCACGGUACCCCUUGGGAUCCGGAAAGUGCUAUUUCGAAGGUCCAUCUCCAUCAUAUUGAUAUCAGUGUCUUGCAUGACGCUUGCCUUUACAAUUGCUGCAGUUAUGAUGUUAGUUCCAGUUGCUCUUAUGUCUGCAUUUGCAGUUGUCCUCAGUGUUGAUCUCGUAGUGGUGUAUGUCUGUUGGGAAGCAGUAUUCAAGUCUAUUUUUCUGUUCGCAGCACUCUGUAGGAGAAAUGGGAUAUGGUACGGGAUAGUCUGGGCAUGCCCAUUUGCAGCAGUAUUCUUCAUGUCAUCUAUUUCUGUGGCCUGUUCGUUUGCCCUGGGGAGUCACGCCGGUGGCAAGGUGGAACCACCGGCACAACCACCGGCACCAUUUGCUUGA
rnacentral:rRNA from 1 species